rnacentral:rRNA from 1 species
UACGUAGGGGGCAAGCGUUGUCCGGAAUCAUUGGGCGUAAAGCGCGUGUAGGCGGUUCGGUAAGUCUGCUGUGAAAGUCCAGGGCUCAACCCUGGGAUGCCGGUGGAUACUGUCGAACUAGAGUACGGAAGAGGCGAGUGGAAUUCCCGGUGUAGCGGUGAAAUGCGCAGAUAUCGGGAGGGACACCAAUUGCGAAGGCAGCUCGCUGGGACGUCACUGACGCUGAGACGCGAAAGCGUGGGGAACAAACAGG